GAGGCUCAUGUUGAACAAAUGUUUGAUGGCUUAGAUGAUGCUGAUGGUGCAGAGGAUGUACCCUUCGAUGAGCUUGUUGGUAUGCAGGGUCCUGUAUUCCAUUUAGUUGAAAAUGCAUUCACUGUUCUGGCUAGCAAUAUGAUAUUCCUUGGUGUUGUUAUCUUUGUGCCCUUUUCAUUGGGACGGAUUAUACUCCAUUAUGUAUCGUGGCUUUUCUCUUCGGCGAGUGGUCCUUUAUUAUCAACAGUUAUGCCACUCACAGAUACUGACCUCUCCGUAGCAAAUUUUACAAUGAAGAGUGCAUUAACUGCUGUUACAAAUUUGACAUCU
rnacentral:misc_RNA from 1 species